rnacentral:rRNA from 1 species
AUUGAACGCUGGCGGCAUGCCUUACACAUGCAAGUCGAACGGCAGCACGGGAGCAAUCCUGGUGGCGAGUGGCGAACGGGUGAGUAAUAUAUCGGAACGUGCCCAGUCGCGGGGAUAACGUAGCGAAAGCUACGCUAAUACCGCAUACGAUCUAUGGAUGAAAGCGGGGGGAUCGCAAGACCUCGCGCGAUUGGAGCGGCCGAUAUCAGAUUAGGUAGUUGGUGAGGUAAAGGCUCACCAAGCCGACGAUCUGUAGCUGGUCUGAGAGGACGACCAGCCACACUGGGACCUGAGACACGGCCCAGACUCCUACGGAGGCAGCAGUGGGGAAUUUUGGACAAUGGGCGCAAGACCUGAUCCAGCAAUGCCGCGUGCAGGA